GACGUAGGAUGCAAGCGUUGUCCGGAUUUAUUGGGCGUAAAGAGUUCGUAGGCUGUUUGUUAAGUCUGGUGUUAAAGACUGAGGCCCAACCUCGGAAAUGCAUCGGAUACUGGCAGACUUGAGUACGGUAGAGGCGAGUGGAAUUCCCAGUGUAGCGGUGAAAUGCGUAGAUAUUGGGAAGAACACCGGUGGCGUAGGCGACUCGCUGGGCCGCAACUGACGCUGAGGAAAGAAAGCCAGGGGAGCGAAUGGG
rnacentral:rRNA from 1 species